rnacentral:rRNA from 1 species
CCUACGGGUGGCAGCAGUGGGGAAUAUUGCGCAAUGGGCGAAAGCCUGACGCAGCGACGCCGCGUGAGGGAUGAAGGUCUUCGGAUCGUAAACCUCUGUCAGCAGGGACGAACGGUCACUGUGUUAAUCAGCAGUGAAUUGACGGUACCUGCAAAGGAAGCACCGGCUAACUACGUGCCAGCAGCCGCGGUAAUACGUAGGGUGCGUGCGUUAAUCGGAUUUACUGGGCGUAAAGCGCUCGUAGGCGGUAUGUCAAGUCAAGUGUGAAAUCCCCGCGCUAAACGUGGGAACUGCCUUUGAAACGGGCAAACUGGAGUGUGUGAGAGGAUAGUGGAAUUCCUGGUGUAGGAGUGAAAUCCGUAGAUAUCUGGAGGAACAUCAGUGGCGAAGGCGAUUAUCUGGCACAUAACUGACGCUGAGGAGCGAAAGCGUGGGUAGCAAACAGGAUUAGAUACCCGGGUAGUC